rnacentral:rRNA from 1 species
AUUGAACGCUGGCGGCAUGCCUUACACAUGCAAGUCGAACGGCAGCACGGGAGCAAUCCUGGUGGCGAGUGGCGAACGGGUGAGUAAUAUAUCGGAACGUGCCCAGUCGUGGGGAUAACGUAGCGAAAGCUACGCUAAUACCGCAUACGAUCUAUGGAUGAAAGCGGGGGAUCGCAAGACCUCGCGCGAUUGGAGCGGCCGAUAUCAGAUUAGGUAGUUGGUGAGGUAAAGGACUCACCCAAGCCGACGAUCUGUAGCUGGUCUGAGAGGACGACCAGCCACACUGGGACUGAGACACGGCCCAGACUCCUACGGGAGGCAGCAGUGGGGAAUUUUGGACAAUGGGCGCAAGCCUGAUCCAGCAAUGCCGCGUGCAGGAUGAAGGCCUUCGG